AUUGAACGCUGGCGGCAGGCUUAACACAUGCAAGUCGAGCGGAGAGAGGUAGCUUGCUACUGAUCUUAGCGGCGGACGGGUGAGUAAUGCUUAGGAAUCUGCCUAUUAGUGGGGGACAACAUUUCGAAAGGAAUGCUAAUACCGCAUACGUCCUACGGGAGAAAGCAGGGGAUCUUCGGACCUUGCGCUAAUAGAUGAGCCUAAGUCGGAUUAGCUAGUUGGUGGGGUAAAGGCCUACCAAGGCGACGAUCUGUAGCGGGUCUGAGAGGAUGAUCCGCCACACUGGGACUGAGACACGGCCCAGACUCCUACGGGAGGCAGCAGUGGGGAAUAUUGGACAAUGGGCGCAAGCCUGAUCCAGCCAUGCCGCGUGUGUGAAGAAGGCCUUAUGGUUGUAAAGCACUUUAAGCGAGGAGGAGGCUACUUUAGUUAAUACCUAGAGAUAGUGGACGUUACUCGCAGAAUAAGCACCGGCUAACUCUGUGCCAGCAGCCGCGGUAA
rnacentral:rRNA from 1 species